rnacentral:lncRNA from 1 species
UGAAAUUCAUGGCACGGGAUGGCUUGGGCCAUCAUCACUGCUGAAGUAACAAGGUCUUUCUUCCUGCACAUCUUUUCUCUUGCUCUCAAUUACACUGUUCACCCUGCACCAAUCUGCACACAUGUCAUGGUUUUGUGAUUUUUGGUUAUUGGUAUUCCACAUCAUAACAUCAUGUAGUGGACAUACCUAGUUCUCAGAAGAGAAGGACUACUACAGUCCCCACGGUACUUUGCUCCUUUGUUACCAUUUUCCAGCCGGAGGGAAAAGAUAGAAGCUCGCAGUAUAAAAACUUGCAGAUCACGAGACCUCGUCCCUUUUUCCGCCGUCUCUCGUCUUGGCAGCACCUCGCUCUCCAGCCGUCUUAUCGUCGGUAGUAGAGUAAGGCCUACCUUGAUUUUGGGACAUUCUCUCUCUCUGUGUUGGAUUUAUCAGCUUAAAUUGUAAUUAUAUUGUAUUAUAGUGUGUUGUUUUGCAUUCCGAUAUCUUAUUUAGUAAAUUAGUUUGUUUCUCCUCAGAUUGUUGCCGCUGUUCUUUGCUCUCAGGGCCAUCUCCCUACCCUUUUCCCCCUUUCCCCUUUUCCCGGGACGUGGGCCCUUGGGUCCCCUGUCCCCUUCGUCACGGAAUCGGGCCUAACGCCCGUAAACCGUUGACAACACAUAAGACCCCUAUCAUCCUUACUUGCCAGAAAAGUGAAUCAGUAGGAAAAAAAGGCCUUUUUCUUGAUUAGAGACAGGAUAGGGCUGCAUGGAGACAGAUAAGAAGAACACCUCUUCUGGAGACCAUAUCUCCAUAGCAAUUUUGUUUACAUCAAUCUCUGGUUUCAUGGGUAGAGUUGAUCUCUGCACUGAGAAUAGGGUCUACACCCAGGGGUACCGAACUACAUGCUUUAAUGUUCUUCUUACUAUUCUGCAUGUAUGGAAUCCAAUGCACAGCAUGAACAAAUGUGAAUCUCAUAUUUGGAGAAGCAUGCUGUGGUUAGACUUAAGCUGCUAUUCGAAGUGUCACAUGAGAGACUGGAGGCAUCCACACUGCAGUUCAUUACACUACAUUAAACUGAGGAGCAGGAAGAUGAAGAAUGAACAAGAUGAAAGAAAGAUUCUUUAACAAGAGAAAGGAAUAUAAACAUUUUUUACAG